rnacentral:rRNA from 1 species
CAGAGGGUGCAAGCGUUGUUCGGAAUUACUGGGCGUAAAGCGCGUGUAGGCGGCUUGUUAAGUCUCGUGUGAAAGCCCUGAGCUCAACUCAGGAAGUGCGCGAGAUACUGGCGAGCUGGAGUGACGGAGAGGAUGGCGGAAUUCCCGGUGUAGAGGUGAAAUUCGUAGAUAUCGGGAGGAACACCUGUGGCGAAGGCGGCCAUCUGGACGUUAACUGACGCUGAGACGCGAAAGCGUGGGGAGCAAACAGGAUUAGAUACCCUGGUAGUCCACGCCGUAAACGAUGGAAGCUAGAUGUCGCGGGUAUUGACCCCUGCGGUGUCGACGCUAACGCAUUAAGCUUCCCGCCUGGGGAGUACGGCCGCAAGGUUA